rnacentral:rRNA from 1 species
AGAGAGAGACAUGCGCGCAUAUCAAUAAGCGGAGGAAAAGAAACUAACUAGGAUUCCCUUCAGUAACGGCGAGUGAAGCGGGAAGAGCUCAAAUUUGAAAUCUUCAAGGUUCUACCUUGACGAAUUGUAGUUUAAAGAAGUGUUUUCUGCUGAAGUUUUGGUAAAAGUUCUUUGGAAUAGGACAUCAUAGAGGGUGAGAAUCCCGUAUUUGACCAUUAUUUUCAGCUUUGUGAUACACUUUCAAAGAGUCGGAUUGUUUGGGAAUGCAGUCCAAAAUGGGUGGUAAAUUUCAUCUAAAGCUAAAUAUUGGCGAGAGACCGAUAGCGAACAAGUACCGUGAGGGAAAGAUGAAAAGAACUUUGAAAAGAGAGUUAAACAGUACGUGAAAUUGUCAAAAGGGAAGCGUUUGACACCAGUGUUGUUUUCUCGAAAAUCAAUUAAAAAUGGCUCGAUUUUGUAUUGCUUGAGACCUUAAAAGCUCACUGUACAUUUUUCGUGUCUUUUUUAAUGCACUUUUCGUUUAACAAGUCAACAUCAGUUUCUUUUGUUGUAAAAGGGUCAUUGGAAGGUGGCUUUCUUUUCGGAGAAAGUGUUUAUAGCCUUUGGCCUCUGCAAUCGGAGAGACUGAGGUCUGCAGCGUAGACUCUUCGGGGUUAGAUACAUUUGUGCUAAGUUAUAGCUUUUUAUAGACAACUUGUUGACUAUAAUUAGUCUUGUAGCUUACUCGCUUAUGCUAUUUUACCUACGCUUAGGAUGUUGAGUCGUAGAGCACGCAG